UAGGAUACCUGACUCUUCUCUUAUUCCUGAGACUUACACAGAAUCGGCAACAUCUCUGAUCUUCUCACCUAGGUGGAUGGUGACUCUAAGACCAGGAUUCAACACAACUAGAAGGCUUUGACUCUAAUACGAGUCACAGAAGGCUCUGCGACUCUUCUAUUUUCUCUAGGUUAUGCAAAUGGAGGUGGAUUGUGACAUAUCAUAGGGCCAACACAACACACAGUCUACAGGUGGAAUUGGGACUCUCAUGCAUGGAUCCAGUUCAUCAUUGAUACUGUGACUCAGGUGGGAUUUUGACAUAUAACUGCACCCAGCACACAGGAGACAGAUGGAUUUUGGAGAAUGACAGUGGAUUAUCAUGAGGUUAAUCAAGUGGUAACUCCAA
rnacentral:lncRNA from 1 species